rnacentral:rRNA from 1 species
AUACGGAGGGGGUUAGCGUUGUUCGGAAUUACUGGGCGUAAAGCGCACGUAGGCGGAUUAAAAAGUUAGAGGUGAAAUCCCAGGGCUCAACCCUGGAACUGCCUUUAAAACUAGUAGUCUAGAGUUCGAGAGAGGUGAGUGGAAUUCCAAGUGUAGAGGUGAAAUUCGUAGAUAUUUGGAGGAACACCAGUGGCGAGGCGGCUCACUGGCUCGAUACUGACGCUGAGGUGCGAAAGCGUGGGGAGCAAACAGGAUUAGAAACCCGAGUAGUCC